rnacentral:lncRNA from 1 species
CUAUUUUUGCAGAGUUUACAUUAAACGCUUUUUAAAGAACAAUUUGCCAAAAACCAUUAUGAUAUAUCAUUAAAAUUCAGUAUUUUACGAACAUUUUUUUGCUUUAAUCAUAUUUCAAAUAAUUGUCGUCAACAUGGUGGAUAUAUUUUUGCAGAGGUUACAUUUUAGUGUUAUGUCAGCUUUAACUGACCAUUUCUUGUCACAAGUUUCGCAUUUUUGUUUCCUUAGCUUUGGAAAUCUUGAGCUUAUGAUUAGACCAUUUCUUGCCUCAAAUCCCUCUUUAUUGUUACAGUAGCUGACAAACUAUUAUGCUUAUAUUUGACUACUUCUUGCUUCAAGUCCAUUUUUCUUGAUUCAUUAGCCAAUGAAAUUUAAGUUUAUGGUUGACCAUUUCUUGCCACAAGUUCCUCAUUUUUGUUUCAUAAGGUGAAGAGAUUUACAGCUUAUGUUUGACCAUUUCUUGCCUCAAGUCCAUCUUUUGUUGUUUCAUUAGCUGAUGAAAUUUUAAGCUUAUGAUUAGACCAUUACUUGCCUAAAGUCCAUCUUUUGUUGUUUUAUUAGCUGAUGAAAAGUUUAGCUUAUGAUUACAUUAGUUGUACAGAAACCACUUAUUAUACGAUGUUAAUAUGCAGUUGCAUUUAUUUACUGUCCGUGUAUUUCAUACUCAUGAAAAAUGUCAAUCAUCAAUAUUUGUGCAUGGUACCUGAAAGUAUAUAUAUUUAUUUAAGUUAUUGGUCACAUGACUUUGUAACGUCAAGUGAUUGUUUACUAUAAACACGUGUGUGUGUUUUAUCAAGCACAUUGUGUGUGUUUACGUUCAAUUUAAUUGGAUGGCAUAUACCCGUAGUGCCGGUUUUACGGGUAUAUGCCCUCAUGAUUUUCGUGAAAAGCAUGAUUAAGUAUUACUUAAGGGGUUAGUUUGAGAAAAAAAAGUUAUUCGAAGUUUGCCUAUAGUUCAAAGUAGCAGCAUUCGUUAUUAUGUUUACCCACCUACCCACCCUUUUAUGAGAUGGUUAUCGUUAAUGGGAG